CACUGGGAAAUGAAAAAAUCCAUGUGACUUGCUUUAUUGUGAUAAUGUGCUUUAUUGUUGUGGUCUGGAACCAAACCAGCAAUAUCCCCAAGGUAUGUCUAUAGUUUGGAAAAGCCAACUUCUGCCUUUAUAGGACAACGGUGAGGCCCAAAGCCUUCAAGCUCUCCAGGGGUCAAGACGACAAAUAGUUGUUACCAUUACUUAAGAAGAAAUGGACGAUACGCCUGAAGUCCCUUCCCCAGCUCCUGACCCCUGGUGCUCACACACGAUGUUAAGGUAAGGCAGAAGCCACUUACUGGCGAUGGGUUUUGGGGAAAGUUAAUUGCUGUACCUCAGUUUCCUCAUCCAGCGCCUUGACUGUGGCCCUGUGGAGAGAUGCCCCUGAACCAGGAGCGCCCAGCUAAGCCACACCAGAUUCCUGACCCACAGAAGCAGUGAGAUAAUAAGUGUUUGCUAUUUUAAGCCACUAAAUUUUGGGCUAAUUUGCUACACAGCAAUAGAUAUACUACUUUGCAGAAAGAUCAAAAGAAAUAAGAAAAUCAGGUCCCUCCUCACUAUUUUUAAUGGUUUUUCAAUUACUAUUUAAUCAUUAGGCAUUUGUUGGGCUUAUGAGUAGAAAUUUUUCUAAAUGUCAGUCUCUUCCCCAGAUCAGUGCGAAUAGUCAGCGGGCUGCAUUUCCAAAUAACAAAGCCACUAUGGGUGGUAUAAUUCUAGCGCUAACAGCAGGUUCCACCAUUUCUUCUGGGUCUUCUAUUCACCAACCUGGUUUGGUAUCCAAAUACCUGAACUCUAGGUAGAGUUAUUAUUCAUAACUGCUCUCUCCUAAUACUUGGGAGGGCCAGCUCUAGAUUUCUCUGCUCUAACAAAUGAUUCUUUGCUUCUUCCUCUCUCUGGCUUCUGCCAUGAAGUAGGUGGUAAUGACAAUUAAAACCGUCAUCAUUUCUUAUUUCCUGCACAUCAGUUUACGGACUAUCUGCCUCUUUAGUAACCACCUCUCAAGCACCUCUCACUGAUCCCCUGGGAUUAAUCAAGCCCUUAACAGAAAUCCAACUUGGACAAAUCCAAGUCAUUCCUGGACGUAUCAUUGUUGGAACAUUUAAGUAAAAUAAUCAUUUUGAUUUUUCUUUCUAUUUCAUACUGCUUUUGCAUUUUUCAAGAUGUUAAGAAAACUUAAAAAAACUUGAUUUCUCUCAAGUUUUAUUAGGAAGUAUGCCUACAUGUGCUGCAUAUUUACAAUUCUCCUACUAAAAACAAAACUAAAUUUUCAUAACCAUGGCAUGUCCGUCUCUUGUAAUGUUAAUCCUCUCCCGAAGUUUAUUCUGUAGACACACCCUGGGCCCCUUGAUUGGAAUGACCUGCACAUUGGGAAACAGAGAACGGUUGAAACAUUCCUGGGCCCAAGGCUGGCAAAGUUGGAGAUGGCAAAAAUGAAGUUGCCUUUUUCCUCCUCCAAUGAAGAACUGCUUCCCACUGACAUGUCCAUUCCAGAGACAGAACUGACAGCCAACUCUCCAUGAAACCUGAGGAAGUAGUUCUAUAGUGUUACAGUUCUUGGGUCACUAAAGCCCUUUGUGACGCUUUGCUGCUGGCCAGGUUGGACUGACCUCCGACUGAAUUUCAACUGGUCCGAAAAGACGACACAGGCAUCUGAGUUUACUGCUCAGCGGAAUGCGGGGAAUCCUGAUCAUCUGUGGGAGAAGCAGUGGUGAGCGGAGGCUGUGGGUGGAGCCUGAGAUGCUGGUUCAGGCCCUCCCCCAGAAGGUCAAGGUACAGCACUGUAGACAAUAAAACAAACUCAAAGACUAGUUCCCCUGCCCAAGGCCUGUGAAACCAUGAAAAACAGUCACAAGUCCUCAUCUUUUACCUCUCCGUCCACUAUUAACC